rnacentral:rRNA from 1 species
UACAGAGGCCUCAAGCGUUGUUCGGAUUCAUUGGGCGUAAAGGGUGCGUAGGUGGCUUGAUAAGUCGGGGGUGAAAUCCCGGGGCUCAACCUCGGAAUUGCCUUCGAUACUGUCUGUCUUGAGUCCGGGAGAGGUGAGUGGAAUUCCUAGUGUAGAGGUGAAAUUCGUAGAUAUUAGGAAGAACACCAGUGGCGAAGGCGGCUCACUGGCCCGGUACUGACGCUCAUGUGCGAAAGCGUGGGGAGCAAACAGG